GAAGAAUAUCAAGUCUGACGCAGAGCUGGCCAUAUUUCUCAGAACGUUCGGUAACAAUCCUACAAAUCGCACCUUUAAAAGGGGAUGCCAGAGGUUCAGAUCUUCAUUCUACAGCAAUCAGUCAACAAGUACAGAUGAUUACAGAACAGUGGUACAGAUACAGAGAAAGAAAGCUAAAUAGCAUAGAUCACAAGACCUGGUGAUCCAACCAUGGCCGAAAGGUCUGUUAGGAUUUCAUGUGUCCCAUCUGAAGGGCAGCUGGACACCAACUUCCAGGAGGGGAGGCUGAGGAGGCCGACCCCUGACAAGAGAGAGCUGGAUCAGUGGGUGAAGGAGCUGGAGAGAAAGGUGUCGAGGGACAGGAUGAGGGACGAGCUGCGGCGAAUGAGAGAGGCUGUGCACAGAAGGAGCCAAGAGAUGUGGGCAAGACAGUGGGAGUGGCAUAUCUGUCAGGUGGAACUGAAGAAAAAGCAGGAAGAGAGAGAGAGAAGGUGCCCAGCUGACAGGACUGGAGGAGAGGGUGAUGAGAAAAAGAGAUGACAACAUGGCAACGCUGAGAGAGCAGGAGAGAGUGAUGAAUGAUAUCAAGAAAAAAGCAGUGGAGGAAGAGAGACAGAUAAGAGAGAUGGAAGAAAAAGU